rnacentral:tRNA from 1 species
AGGGGUAUAGUUCAAGGGUAGAGCACCGGUCUCCAAAACCGUUGAUGUGAGUUCGAAUCUUACUACCCCUG